UACGUAGGGGGCAAGCGUUGUCCGGAAUCAUUGGGCGUAAAGCGCGUGUAGGCGGCCCGGUAAGUCCGCUGUGAAAGUCCAGGGCUCAACCCUGGGAUGCCGGUGGAUACUGUCGGGCUCGAGUCCGGAAGAGGAGUGUGGAAUUCCUGGUGUAGCGGUGAAAUGCGCAGAUAUCAGGAGGAACACCAAUGGCGAAGGCAGCACUCUGGGACGUGACUGAUGCUGAGACGCGAAAGCGUGGGGAGCAAACAGG
rnacentral:rRNA from 1 species